UGGGGAAUAUUGGACAAUGGAGGCAACUCUGAUCCAGCAAUUCUGUGUGUGUGAAGAAGGUUUUAGGACUGUAAAACACUUUUAGUAGGGAAGAAAGAAAUGACGGUACCUACAGAAGAAGCGACGGCUAAAUACGUGCCAGCAGCAGCGGUAAUACGUAUGUCGCGAGCGUUAUCCGGAAUUAUUGGGCUUAAAGGGCAUCUAGGCGGUUAAACAAGUUGAAGGUGAAAACCUGUGGCUCAACCAUAGGCUUGCCUACAAAACUGUAUAACUAGAGUACUGGAAAGGUGGGUGGAACUACACGAGUAGAGGUGAAAUUCGUAGAUAUGUGUAGGAAUGCCGAUGAUGAAGAUAACUCACUGGACAGCAACUGACGCUGAAGUGCGAAAGCUAGGGGAGCAAACAGG
rnacentral:rRNA from 1 species